rnacentral:tRNA from 1 species
UUCCUGGUGGUCCAUUGGUUAGGACUCUGCUCUUUCACUGCCAAGGGCACAGGUUCAAUCCCUGGUCAGGGAA